GAGGGAGGAAUGCCUGUGGGUUGUAAACCUCUUUUAUCAGGGAAGAAGAUCUGACGGUACCUGAUGAAUCAGCAUCGGCUAACUCCGUGCCAGCAGCCGCGGUAAGACGGAGGAGGCAAGCGUUAUCCGGAAUUAUUGGGCGUAAAGCGUCCGCAGGUGGCCUGUUAAGUCUGCUGUUAAAGCCCAGGGCUUAACUCUGGAUCAGCGGUGGAAACUGGCAGGCUAGAGUACGGUAGGGGUAGAGGGAAUUCCUGGUGUAGCGGUGAAAUGCGUAGAUAUCGGGAAGAACACCGGUGGCGAAAGCGCUGCUAUUGGGCCGUAA
rnacentral:rRNA from 1 species